GCGUUGUUAGUUUAGAGGUAAAAUUGCCGCUUCCCAAGCGGUUGUCCCGGGUUCGAUUCCCGGACAUCGCA
rnacentral:tRNA from 1 species